AUCCACCCCGGCUCGAUCCACUCCCACCCCACCACUCUCUCUAUCUCAGGAACUCCGCACGAUCUCCUCGGUCCACCCCACCCGGCUCCUCUCCCCACGAUCUCCUCACCGCCGCCCCCACCCACGCCGGCCGGUUCCGGCGAGCGCCGGCCGCGCGCAACACCCCACCUCCUCCUCCUCCCCCUCCCUUCCCCUUCCUCCUCUGCUCGCCCCUUCUCUCUCCUUCCUCCCGGCGGCCGGCGAUGGGCGCGGACGAGGAGGAGCACCAGUCCCCUGCGCGGAAGCGCGAGCGCGAGGAGGGGGAGGAGCCCCCGGCCGCCGACGAGAAGCGCCCGCGCACGACGGACAAGUCGGAGGGCGUUAACCAGGAGAGGCCGCCCCGAAGCCUCUCGCCGCCGGAAACCCUCGCCGCCCAUCUCCACCGGAGCACCGGCGAGAAACCGUCCUCCUCCCGACAAGGAAGCCCUUAUCUUUCCUCGGAUUUUCCUUCGUUUCCUCGCUUACAUACGACCUCCCGCGUGAAGAACCGAGCCAGAUCGAGUCCGGUCCGGCCGGCCAGCCCGGAUCUCCCCCGUCCGAGGCCGGUCUCGCCCCCCGCCGGUAGCGCGCGUAGGCACUAGGUAGGCAGGGCCGUCACCAUGGCGCUCCAUCGGGCGCCCAUGUAUUCCGCCACGGAACUCUAAGGAUUUGGGGGUCGAUUCGGGGACCAAAUCGGGGGAUCACUGGAGGCUCAGGGGCGAUGCAGAUCGAUGAUGUGUUAGUGCCUCAGGUCUAAGCUGCAUGAUUGGGCUGCAGGUGCUGUUCCUGAUCGCUCCAUCAUGCUACAUACAUACAUUGUGCAAUUCGUUGCCGGAUCGGUGAUAACCAACGGCUUCGUUUUCGGCUCUACUCUGGCCAAUGUUUCGGUCUCCGUCCGGCUAUCUGCCAGCUUGGAGUUGUCAUCAGUUUAUUUGUGCACUUCAUCAAUUUAUACACAAACAUGCUGUACCGAGAUAGCUUAAAUUUGCUACCUAUGUUCAGAUGCGUGCUUGCCUGUUUCUGUAGACCUAUGUGCUAGACUCUUAACACAUGAAUGACGAGUAUUGAAUGCGAAGCUUCGUUCAGUCUCACAGUGUCAUAGGUUUUCGACAAUCCGGCAACUUCUUUGUGCUAGUGCGUCAUGCUUACAUGACAAAGGACUUGAUGUUUAAUUUUUAUAGAUCUGGCUACUACUAUAUGCAAAUAGGGAAAAUGUGAAUUAAAGUUUCUUUAUUUAUCCCAGUAUUACUCUACGUAAUUAGUUAUGCUUAUAUAUUAUGGGAUUAUAAGUCAAGACAUCUGAAGAAAAUGAAUAUCAUUUUUGCUCCUUAGCUGCAGGGAAAAGAAACAUGUGCAGAUGUUGAGGUAGUCAUAUCCAGUGAACCCAGGUAAUAAGUGAAGAUGAAUAUUACAUGUGUAUAUUACUUUUUCCACUGUCGUUAGAUUAUGUUCAGAAUAUUUCUGAUAUUUUUUUGGAAUGCUAGGACCAUCACAUAUAAAAAAGAACUUUAAAUCACCAAAAUGUUGAUUUCUUUUAUUGAAGAUCUCGAGGGUGAGACAAUUUUCAGCAGAUUCAGAGGAAUAGCUUAAGUACCAUACAGGGGAUGACACAAAUGGUAAUGAACACAUCAUGGAUCUUGCAUUAAUUUUCUUAUUCUAGCAGUAUAAUUUGUGCAGGGAAGACAUUCAUUUGUCAUGCCAUGGAAGUAUUGUUUGAAGUUUCCUUGCUGUCAAGACUUUUUUUUCAACAUCUAUGAGGUGGCAAGCAAAGUUAUGGUAACUGCAGCUCAUAUCAGGUAUAAUGUGAAAUGUAGGUCCAUCAUCUCAUCAUCCUUUAUGCCCUUUCUUUCCCUAAUAUUUUACAGCAAACCAACGGAUCAGCUAACCACAAGCUUAGUAUGUGGUAUACUGCAUAAAUAUCUAGCUUGGUAGAAAGCAUGGCCAGUAGAGCGUUUUCUAACCAUGCACUAGCAGUGCCCACUCCAUGCUACUGUUAUGUACACAGACGAGAAGUUUGUUUGAGAAAGAGUAUGCUUGCUGCCUUUCAUCUAAUAUCAUAUGUUUCUGUUUCCUAUGUGAAACUGAUGGUUCACGUCUCUAACUUCAACUGCUUUAUAGUUUUGCACAAUAAGUUUUCACUUUCUCGACUGGGUGCAGGGUGACCGACGAGGACUACUGCGGCCCGAUGGGAGUCGUGCUCUUCAACUACUCGGAGGCAGACUUCACCGUGAAGCCUCGCGACCGCGUCAUACAGAUUAUUGUCCAGGUGAUUGCGACGCAGGAGGUGUCCCAGGGUGGAGGACCUCGACGCCACCGUCCGAAGGUCACCGAGGUGGAGGACGACGCCACCGUCUGGAGUUCCUCAAGGUGGAGGACCUUGACUCUUUGUACAUACAUCUAGAGAAGUGGUCUAGUUAGGUUGGUGGUGAAACGCUAGGGAAGGUACCAACCUUUUGAUGAUGGUUGUGUGCGUCCUCGUGAUCUCUUCGUGUUUGAGAUGUUCAAUGUUGCAUCCAUGAACACUGCAAGUGUUAAGAUGGUUUUGUGAAAUUUAUUUUGCAUUGGAUGUG
rnacentral:rRNA from 1 species